UACGGAGGGGGCGAGCGUUAUUCGGAAUUAUUGGGCGUAAAGGGCGCGUAGGCGGCCUGAUAAGUCAAAGGUGAAAUCCCUCGGCUCAACUGAGGAAUUGCCUUUGAAACUGUCAGGCUUGAGGCCGGGAGGGGGUGGCGGAAUUCCCAGUGUAGCGGUGAAAUGCGUAGACAUUGGGGGGAACACCAGUGGCGAAGGCGGCCACCUGGACCGGUUCUGACGCUGAUGCGCGAAAGCGUGGGGAGCAAACAGG
rnacentral:rRNA from 1 species